rnacentral:lncRNA from 1 species
UCUUCCUCCAGGAUUUUGCAGUAAUGUCAUUUCAGAUUGAAAAUGAUAAAAUGUGUACUACUAGAUAAGAUCAAUCCUGUACGCAUAUUCACAUAUUGUGUUAAAAUUGUACAUUCAGUAACUGUGAGAAACCCACGGACCCAAAAUAAUCAGAAUCCAUCACUGACCAUCCCCCCCUGGCUUGAUUUUACAACUCGACCACUGUCCACAUCCAUGUGCUACUUUAUUAUUCCAAAUAUUUGUCAAAAUAUCGUUAAUAAUGUAAAAAAAUAUCCUACAGAAUGAGGUACUCUUUAGUUCCCCAACUAUUAAAUGACUUGUUUAUCUAUUAAUCAAAUAAGGUUAAAUAUGAAGAAAAAUACUAUAAGUUAAAUGUGAUCAAACAACGUAAAAAAAUAUAAAAAUAAAUGAAAAAAAUGAACGUUAAUAGUUCACUAAAAAAACAAAACAUGGAUUAAUAUAUUUCUUAGACAUUUUCUUAUAAAAAAAAGGUAUGUAGAAAAAUACUGAUAAUUUUUCGUGUAAUUAAUCUUUAUUAUAUCUCAUUUCUACCAAUAAAAACAAAAAUAUUUUUAGUUAAUUACAUUGUUGUUUGUUUCCAUGGUUUCAUUAAUAAUGGUUUUUAAUAAAUAUGAAAACAACUGAGGAUCAACUAUGGAUCAAAAACAAAUUUCACGUUUUAAUUGAGAAAAAAUACUGUUUAAGCUAUGGAAUGGCUUGAAACGUGUUACGAGGACUCUGUUGUAUCAGAAACAACAAUUAAACGUAGGCUUGCUGCCUUCAAACCUGUUUGCAGAGAUACCAAUGAUGCUGAAAUCAGUGUACGUUCCAAUGAGAUGGCAACAACUGAAAACAUCAAAAAAUCCACAAAAAAUUGUCUUGAAUCAUCAGAAAGUGAAGUUGUGUGACUUAGAAAAGAAUCUGUUGCCUUCAUAUUGUACGAGCAUUUUUCCAUGAAAAGGCUCUAUUCGAAAUGGAUGUUGUGUUUGGUUGAAACUUUAAAAAAAACCAAUAGAGCCAACCAAGAAAAUGAGAGCGUCGUAACCACAUCAUGGAUCACUGGAGAGCUGAAAUUCCUGAGCUAUCCAUGCAUGGUAAAUCCCCAUCCGAAAUGAAAACGGCCGGGGAACUUAUUAUGCUCUGAUACAAUGUUCCAACAAUUGUCUCUGCACCCGACAAAUUCGAAGAACUUUAUCUAAUGCUAAAACUCAAACAAAAUAUGUAUCUCAAAAGUUGGACGAUAAAAAGAUUGCAGCAAGAAAAAACGGCUAAACUCACACCUCUGACAAAUGUGAAACACAUAAUCUGUUGAAUGUAGCCAUACCUUUCUAAACUGCAAGAUUUCCUUAUAUCUAUUCAGCUCCGUGAUACAGUCGAAAAGACCAAAUGCUCCUAUACAAAUAAAUUCAAGACUUUUUGCUGUCAGUGCCUACUACAAAAGUUCAUCGUACUACAUAUUUAGUUCGGCAAAGUUCAAAAUACCUGUUGUUUCAUCAAGACAGGCCUGAAUAUCAAAGUUCCACGUGAAUGAGGGGUUCUCUCCUAAUUUAGGAAGGCUAUUGGCAUUGAGAUGUAAUACUUUGGAAAAAAAGGAUCAAUUGAGCAACUUAAUCAUAGAUGAGAUAUCAUGGUGCAAAUUUGUAGAUUUUGAACCCAUCCUUGAUGUGCUUCAGAGAAUCAAAGCAUUAUAAUAUUUUACUGGAUAUUGUUUAAGAACUCUCAAUAAGUUGCAUGUUGCUUCUUGUGAGACAUGCUGUUACCUAGGCACAAAGCUAACUGUGUUUGCAACUGAGAUUGAAACCAGUGAAAUGUUCUGUGGCCGAAAAGAUACGAUACAGACUCAUCAACACUUUUCUGUGCAGGACCUGAGAUGACAAAAUAUGUUAAGAACAUUUUACUUGAGAGCAACUUCUGGUCCUUCCUCACUUAUCAUAACUUUUACAUGGCUGCACUAAAAGCCAAAUGGAUAAAUAACGAGCUAAAGAACACAAUCAAAAAGAGCCAAAAUAAACUAAAAAUUAUAAAACAUUCGUAACUGUUGUCACAUAUUAACAUCAUGUCAUAGAAAUUGGGAAUAAAUAUCCUUUUAGGUAAUCCUUUAUUUCAUCUUUGUGAUUGUUCAUAAGAUUAGUUAUACACACGAGAAAGACACUAUCAACAUUAGUAACAAUAUCGGCUUACUAGAACUCUAUAUGCAUAUGCUUAAGCUUAAGCUUUAAAGCCUACAGUAAAACUUUUUGUCAGAGUUUAAAGCCAUUGGAUCGAGUAAAGUGUGUUACCCGGUCCAAAAUCCUCCUGAACAAGUGGAUGAAGAAACCACGUAAUGUUGUUAUCUUGUUUUCAGAUGAAACCCCUUUGAGCUUUGAGUAAAUGGCUGCUAUUGACAAUGGAUACUACCUGACUAAGUCGAAGGUGUCCGGGAUAAUAAUGUUAUCUAUGUCAGUAGUACUUUGCUAAUCUCCAGGUGCUUGAGGUUGUCGGAGCUAAAAGAUAGAUGGUGCAAACUAAUUUUCAGGAAGUCCAAUGAGAAGCUUAAUUUUGAUACUUAAUGCAAGUACCUGAAUGAGAAAGUGUAUGGAAAUUCCUGGUAAUGGCAGUAGGAUACGUCUAAUCGGACUCAGAAUUGAUUCUGUGUUGAGGGUCCAGGUUUUUUGACAAAGACUCUUGGGCUCCCCAUAGCCCCGACUGUCCCCUCUUGGACUUGGUAUCUCUAAGGACCUGAAGGGGAUGAUUUUGAGAGUCCGAUACACAACAAAGAACCAAAGGAAGGCUACCAUAAUCACUGCUUUAGCCGACCUAGAGCCAAGCUUUGUAAAUAAUUACGGUGCAAAGUUCUGCACCAGGCUGAAAAUGGUCAUUAAGGCAAAAUGUGGCUAUUGAAAAGAUAAAUAAGGUAUCCCUUGAUUCUAAUUAUGAAUUAAAAUUCUAUAAUAUUUUUUGAAAUAUAAGAACUUUUGUAAAA